rnacentral:snRNA from 1 species
GGAUGUGAGGGCAAUCUGGCUGUGACAUCUGUCACCCCAUUGAUUGUCAGAAUUGAUUUGGCUGAUCUGAUGUAUCCCAUUCCUCCCUCACUGUUCCAUGUAUGUGCCCCCCAAAGCUGCUUGCUUGGUAGAAGAGGACCAUUUCCUUGGUCAAGAGUACUGUGUUCCCCUGCUAGAACCUCCAAACAAGCUCUCAAAUGAGAUUAUAAAAUUUUGUAGAAGAUCACCACCCCAGUAAGGCUGAAAUGGUAAUGCAAUGUCACAUUUCCAU